rnacentral:rRNA from 1 species
UACGAAGGGGGCUAGCGUUGCUCGGCCUCCCUGGGCGUAAAGCGCACGUAGGCGGCUUUCUAAGUCAGGGGUGAAAUCCUGGAGCUCAACUCCAGAACUGCCUUUGAUACUGGAGAGCUUGAGUCCGGAAGAGGUGAGUGGAACUGCGAGUGUAGAGGUGCAAUUCGUAGAUAUUCGCAAGAACCCCAGUGGCGAUGGCGGCUCACUCGUCCGGUACUGACGCUGAGGUGCGAAGGCGUGGGGAGCAAACAGG